rnacentral:rRNA from 1 species
GAAUCUAAACAAUUUUGAGCAGAUCGCACAGUCUUGUACUGGCGACAACUCUUUCAAAUGUCUGCCUUAUCAACUCGAUGGUAGGUUAUGUGCCUACCAUGGUUGUAACGGGUAACGGAGAAUCAGGGUUCGAUACCGGAGAGGGAGCCUGAGAAACGGCUACCACAUCCAAGGAAGGCAGCAGGCACGCAAAUUACCCACUCCCAGUUCGGGGAGGUAGUGACGAAAAAUAACAAUACGGGACUCAUCCGAGGCCCCGUAAUUGGAAUGAAUACAUUUUAAAUCCUUUAAUGAGGAUCCAUUGGAGGGCAAGUCUGGUGCCAGCAGCCGCGGUAAUUCCAGCUCCAAUAGCGUAUAUUAAAGUUGCUGCAGUUAAAAAGCUCGUAGUUGGAUCUCAGUUACAGGCAGGUGGUUCACUUUACGGUGCUACUACUUGUACUGAACCUAUUGCUGGAUCUCUUGGGUGCCCUUCACUGGGUGCCCCUUGAGACCAGAGCGUUUACUUUGAGAAAAUUAGAGUGCUCAAAGCAGGCGAAUGCCUGAAUAGUUGUGCAUGGAAUAAUAAAAAAUGACCUCGGUAUCAUUUUGUUGGUUCACGAUACUCGAGGUAAUGGUUGAAAGGGACAGACGGGGGCAUUCGUAUUGCGACGUUAGAGGUGAAAUUCUUAGAUCGUCGCAAGACGGACUACUGCGAAAGCAUUUGCCAAGAAUGUCUUCAUUAAUCAAGAACGAAAGUCAGAGGUUCGAAGGCGAUCAGAUACCGCCCUAGUUCUGACCUUAAACGAUGCUAACUGGCGAUCCAGUAGGGGUAUUUCAAUGACCUGCUGGGCAGCUUCUGGGAAACCAA